GGAAGUAAAAGUCUAACAAGGUUUCCGUAGGUGAACCUGCGGAAGGAUCAUUCAUAAUAAAGUGUUUUAUGGCACUUUUUAAAAAUCCAUAUCCACCUUGUGUGCAAUGUUAGAUCUCGUCAAUCUUGGCGAGAUUUUUAUACAUCAACUCAUUCUUUAACUAAUUUGUCUGAAAAAUAUUAUGAAUACUUAAUUCAAAAUACAACUUUCAACAACGGAUCUCUUGGCUCUC
rnacentral:misc_RNA from 1 species